rnacentral:lncRNA from 1 species
AAGUGUUGUUUGUUAAAGAAAGGGUUCAAAACAUUGAAUUCGGCCCUAAGUGUUGCAUAAAUCUUCCAUUUGUAAUUAAAAGUUGAUUCUGCAUUCUAAAGUGAUUUCCAAGUGUCUAUUUCAUUGCUUUGCUUACUAUCGCUUUAAGAAUGUUUGUUAUCCCUAUCCUUUCUUUGUUAGCCAUUACCCUCAAGCCCUGUUACAACCCUUGACUUCAAUCUUGAAUGUUGUGUGUUUCACUGGUUCUUGCAUCUAAGUAGUAGCAUUCCAUUCAUGAGAUCAUAUCUAAACAUGCUUAAUAACUCCAGAAAAUUGCUUU